rnacentral:rRNA from 1 species
UCUCCUGGAAACGGGUGGUAAUGCCGGAUGUUCCACAUGAGCGCAUGCGAGUGUGGGAAAGGCUUUUUGCGGCAUGGGAUGGGGUCGCGUCCUAUCAGCUUGUUGGUGGGGUAACGGCCUACCAAGGCGUUGACGGGUAGCCGGCCUGAGAGGGCGACCGGCCACAUUGGGACUGAGAUACGGCCCAGACUCCUACGGGAGGCAGCAGUGGGGAAUAUUGCACAAUGGGCGCAAGCCUGAUGCAGCGACGCCGCGUGCGGGAUGGAGGCCUUCGGGUUGUAAACCGCUUUUGUUCAAGGGCAAGGCACGGUUUCGGCCGUGUUGAGUGGAUUGUUCGAAUAAGCACCGGCUAACUACGUGCCAGCAGCCGCGGUAAUACGUAGGGUGCAAGCGUUAUCCGGAUUUAUUGGGCGUAAAGGGCUCGUAGGCGGUUCGUCGCGUCCGGUGUGAAAGUCCAUCGCUUAACGGUGGAUCCGCGCCGGGUACGGGCGGGCUUGAGUGCGGUAGGGAGACUGGAAUUCCCGGUGUAACGGUGGAAUGUGUAGAUAUCGGGAAGAACACCA